rnacentral:lncRNA from 1 species
GUUUAUGCUGGCUCAGAAAAUUCCACCCACUUCUCAGUAAACUCGACCUAGGAAUCUGCUGUCCAACAGUGGUCAAUACCACAAUCUUUAUGGGGAGACGGCAAAUGCAGCCCGUUUGCAGGGCUAGUCACCAGGGCCUGAGGAGAAGAGGAUGGAGUCCCAAAAGAGGUUUGCCUGCUUCUCUCCCAGACCACGGCCCUAGGGAAUCUGUUUCAGCAGUGUAGCUCAUGCAUCUCGGCCCAGAUUCCUAACAUCUGUCCAGCUGUGUGGUCGCCAGGGCCUCCAGCUGCCAGUCAGAUGGGAACUUGAAAGCGACGUGACCUUUAGAUAAAUAAAGCAAGAACUGAGGAAAAAAAAAAAAGAGCUGAGGUAAUAGCAAACAUUGGGCAAAUAUUUGCCAGAGAAACCGUGUUUGAACUUUCCCCUGUGGUGUAGGUCCAGGUUUGCUAGCACAGCCUGACCUUGGCAACCUUGCCCUCGACUUGUUGUUUUGACAUAAUUCGUUUUAGCACAUAGGUUUUCCAUGGGUUCCAUUUGUCAGUAAGUGAGCUCAUGACCUCAGAGCAUUCUAUUUGGGGCUCCUCUGCAGGAAGCCCAGCAUGGCUCCAGGGCAGGCUUCUCCACGUCAUCAUGUAACCUGGGAUUCCAGUACGUGAUACUUUUUGCUUCUUAGAUUGGUUGCUUUUUCUUACAUUGUUGGCCUCGGGGCAGUUUUCAAUGGCUGUCUUGUAAUAUGACCAGCUUUGAAUCUUCCUUUCGCCAUCCUGAGAAGCAGUGCAUGCUGAGAUCGGAGCCACUCUUCAUCAGAAGGUUCAAAGAACUGGUCACCAGCUGGACUGAAGGACGUGGCACUGUCCCCCUCUUCUCCUUCCAUGGGACUGGAGCCCAGUCUCACUGCCCAGCUGAGAGACAGCGCCCACAUGGGUACUCCUGGACCUCCAGAGGGCACCCCCUGCAGACUCACUCCCAGCCCUGACUCAUUCCUCAGUUCUCCUUGAAGAUCAGCAUCAGCAAGUCCUGGCUCAGUCUCUCCCCGGGGCUUACCCUAUUGAAAUGCUCCCCUGGGCACUCACCUUGGCCACAGGUGCCAGGAGCGGACAGCAGCAAAGACAGUGGAGCCCCUCCUGGGCUUCAGCUGUCUGUUUCUUAAAGUAGCUUAAAUUACAUGCACUUCACAGUCCAAGAAUUAAUGUUUUUCAAUUAAAAAAUAUUUUUAGAGAGUUGUAGGUUCACAUGCAAUAGUAAGAAAUAAUACAGAGAUUCUCCAGUUUCCCGCAGCAGUAACAUCUUACAUAAGAAUAGUUUUCAUAACCAGAAAUUAACAUUGAUCCAAUCAGCGACUUUAUUCAGAUUUCACCAGUUUCACACUCAUUCGUGUGUGUGUGUUUGUGUGUGUGUGUGGUUCCAUGCAGUUUUAUCACGUGUCCAGUCAUGCGACUCCACAGUCGAGGUACAGAGCAGUUCCAUCACCAGGAGGGUUCCUGGUGUUACCUUUCUAAUUGUUCUCUUCUCAGCCAGGUGUGUGCAGGUGAUACCUGAGAGGCACUGAGUACGACUGCAUCAUGGUCAAUGGUGUCAGCAUGUGGUCUGUACCCAAUGUUUGUAUCCUCCGACUUCAGAUGUUAAAAUCCUAAUGCCCAAAGUGAUGGUAUUUGGUGGUGGGGCCAUUGGGAAAUGAUUAGAUCAAGAGAGAAGAGUCCUCAUGAAUGAGAUUAGUGCCCUUAUAAAAGGGACCCCAGGGGACUUGGUCACAUCUUCCACCAUGUGGGGACACAGCGAGAAGGCGCCAGCUAUGAACCAGGGAGCAGAUCCUCAACAGACACCAAACUGCUGGUGUCUUUGCCUUGGACUUUCCAAUCUCCAGAACAGUGAAAAAUAAAUGUUUGCUGUCUAAGCCUCCCAGUCUCUGAUAGUUUUGUUA